UACGGAGGGUGCGAGCGUUAAUCGGAAUUACUGGGCGUAAAGCGCACGUAGGUGGUUGUGUAAGUCGGAUGUGAACGCCCUGGGCUUAACCUGGGAACUGCAUUCGAUACUGCCCGGCUAGAGUAUGGGAGAGGGAGGCGGAAUUUCCGGUGUAGCGGUGAAAUGCGUAGAUAUCAGAAGGAACAUCAGUGGCGAAAGCGGCUUCCUGGUCCAGUACCGACGUUCAGGCACGAAAGCGUGGGGAGCAAACAGG
rnacentral:rRNA from 1 species